GUCAAAACAUUAUAUGAAGUGCUCACAACAUUAUAUUAAGUGCUCACAACAUUAUAUUAAGUGCUCACAACAUUAUACGCAGUGGUCCAAACAUUAUAUGCAGUGGUACAAACAUUAUAUGAAGUGGUCAAAACAUUAUAUGAAGUGCUCACAACAUUAUAUGAAGUGGUCACAACAUUAUACGUUUUUUGUUGUAUGUGAGAUUGAUGUAUGAUGAGAUCAUUCGGUAAACUUCGUUUUUUAGCGGAAAUUACCGAAUCCAUAAUAGGUAAAUUACGGUAAAUUAAUG
rnacentral:lncRNA from 1 species